GGGGUACUGUAAGUGGUAGAGUAGCCUUGUUGCUACGAUCCACUGAGGUUAAGCCCUUGUUCUAAAGAUUUGUUCAACUUUGUUGGACUUUCUCUUUCUCUUUUUUCUUUACAUGCUGAAUGGUGAGGGCCGGGAUAGUAUCCUUUGUGCACUCCCAACAGCAUGUUUCGAACUUGUAAAGCUAACGUUUUCGUUACCUUUCUUGUAAGAAUCAUGAGGUAGAAGGGGUCUGGUUAGCAAGCUUUCUUUCUUUGAACGCGCGCUGACUCUUUACCUUGUACUUGGAUAUCGGCCUUAUGGUUGAUAUUCGGUAUAUGGUAUAGCCAAAGGACUCCUAAAAAGGCAUUCAGUGCGACUGGAUUGCCUUUUUUAGGCCUUGAAAUCGUCUUUGGGACUAAGUAAGCUAAGCUAUGGUUACUUUUGUAACCGUUGCGACUGUUUGCUUGGGUUUCAAGCCGAAUUGAAGGGUAACUGGUACUGAACUGAAAGGUUUACUAAGUUUACUAAGUAAACCAUUCAUCAAGUCCGGUUUGUGAUAAUCUUGGGGGCUCUAAAGUGUGUUUUCUAAGAGCUGGGACUAUAGUUGAGUUGGU
rnacentral:misc_RNA from 1 species